UUUUGGACAAUGGGGGCAACCCUGAUCCAGCCAUGCCGCGUGAGUGAAGAAGGCCUUCGGGUUGUAAAGCUCUUUCGGACGGAACGAAAUGGGCGGGACUAAUACUCCUGUCUGAUGACGGUACCGUAAGAAGAAGCACCGGCUAACUACGUGCCAGCAGCCGCGGUAAUACGUAGGGUGCGAGCGUUAAUCGGAAUUACUGGGCGUAAAGCGUGCGCAGGCGGUUUCGUAAGCUGGAGGUGAAAUCCCCGGGCUUAACCUGGGAAUGGCCUUCAGGACUGCGAGGCUAGAGUGCGGCAGAGGGAGGUGGAAUUCCACGUGUAGCAGUGAAAUGCGUAGAGAUGUGGAGGAGCACCGAUGGCGAAGGCAGCCUCCUGGGCCAGCACUGACGCUCAUGCACGAAA
rnacentral:rRNA from 1 species